GUACGCAGCUCUUACAAGGUCUCUCCUGAUUGGUUCGAUCAAACAAUCGAAAACAAUAGGUCGCUUAAAAUUCAAAAUGGCGGACGAUAAUCGUGAAGGGUAAACAGAUGCAAUCAUGAGUAGCGUUGGAGCGGUUUCAAAUGAACCUUGAGGGAACUUCUUUGUGCUGCGACAAUGGCCUCGUUUUGGUAAAAGUCCAUCAAAAAGUUAAACAAAAAGUGCAAACCAAAGUUUUGCGAACAAGUACUCCUCAACCUGGACUGGUUUUUCCUUGCAUUUUCAGAUUCCUGGGUACUUGUUGUUAUACAGUUGGCCUGCUGACAUAGGUUAAUGUCAUGGAAAAGACACAGUGGGGAUUUGUGAGGCUUGCUUGAUGCAUGAAAUCUGUCCUGUAGCACAAAUCUUCUGGUUGUUCCAGUGUAGGGAUGUUGUACAUCGUCACCAACUGUAUGACUUGUAGUGGACACAUGGUUAAUACUGGGGGCCAUUUUGUACUCUGCUGGCACAAGUUCUGGAAAAUUGUGGUCCUGUCAUUUAUAAGUUGAGAAGAACCGAUCUAAGUAUUUUUCAUGACUUUGUAUAUGGUGUCUCACAAAGCCACAUGGGGAGUCAUUAAUCAGGACAAUGGGCUUGUACUUGACAGAUAGAUAGAGAUCUGAAGCAUCCCGGACAGACUCUGACAGCACUAGUGUCUUUGAUGCCACAGUGCACUAUUGCAUAAAAUUUCAAAGAAAACAUUUUCAGUGAAUAAAAAAUCUGCAAAAUUGUCAUAGUAUCCGCGGGGUAUUCCAUGGCUUCGGAAGCCUGGACUGGACCGGCACACAUGUAGUCCAGCAUGGCGGCCAUGUUUCUUCCAUGUAGGAAUAAACUCCCAAAUACAUACUAUUUCAGAAAUGUAGGUUUGUGUUCGUGAGACAUUGAUGGUAUUUGGUGGUCUUGUUAAUCAGCUUGUCUUGGAUAUUUAAUCUAACCCUGAACAUAGAGAUUUGCCUUAUUAUAGUAUGCUAGCCAUAUACCCUGAUUAACAAAGGGGUUUGUUUUAUUAUGAACAGCAUAGCCUGAUUUACUGUAGCUUACCCCAUGCCUGCAAACCAUAUGGUAGAACCCUCCAGUUUUACCCUCCUUUUUGUUGUAUCCAUGACAUGGACAAAAUCCAUAUAAUAUUCCUUUAUAUAGUGCAUAUAUGUCUGAUCUCAUCUUUGCCUGAAAUGAAAUCAUAGUAAAGAUUUUUUACUUGCCAGAGUUUGAGAGGGGUUUACUUAGGUUGUGUCAUAUCUGAUAGUGUAAUUUUGUCUGAUAAUUGAUAAUUGAUAAUACAGAUAUAUUUAUUUGCUCUGUAUUCUCUAACCAUAAUUAAGAUGUUGACAUUUGAAUAAUUUAGUUGAGCCCAUCUUCUGACUUGUGUGUAUAUUUUCAAUUAAUAAAUGUUGACCACCUACAAGUA
rnacentral:lncRNA from 1 species